GUUAUUUAAAAAUUGGUAAGGAAAUGUUAUUAGUCAUCAAAACAUAUGCUUCGUGCACUACUGAAGUUGAAGUUACAGGGUAGAAUGACUGAAAAAGUUAUUAUAAAUUUGAAAGUCUAGUGUACAUUUCAGUAUGCUAAAAAUGUUUUUCUCAUACUGAUUUGCAAUUCUAGCCACUCCUUGCUGAUAAUUUUUGUAGGAAGUGGAGAAGAAAGCUCUAGUGCUGCCUAGUUUCCUGUAUCUCAUAAUUAAGUUUUCCAUAAAAGUGAAUUAAUACUUUUAAUGCCUUGUUACUUUUCCAUUUUUUCAUGCUUUUGUUCUGUGAAACAGGCUUCAGCUGAGGGUAAAAGGUCCUAGCUGCCAGAGAUCACCUGUGAAUUCCCCAGCUUGCCUUUUGAUUAGAAAGGCUGCUGAUUUGACAGCAUGAUGGUUAUUGAAGGCCCUGACAUUCCUGUCAUGGAUAACAUACGCCUCUGACACCUCAGGGUUAUAUAUGUCAAAGGCAGCUGACUGACCUGAUAAAAUCAACAUGAACUUGUGCUUGCUCAGAAACGCUGAGGUGAUCGUUCCCUGAUGUCACCAAUACACUACCUCUGCCGUAGCAAUGUGGUUAGACUAAGAAAAAGCAAAUACUGCACGUCUUGCCAUGAUGGCUCUCCCACUCCUUUCUCUGACAGGGUUUCAUGCAGUGUACAGGAGCUAUCAUCAUGGAAAAAAAUGUCCAAUGAACUGUGUUGCCUUUUCUGGCCUCAAGGCACAAUGUGUUAUGAAAGAAGACUAGAAAGGAAAAAUAAUAGGUGGUCAGAUCACGAAGUGAUCUUAGAGAAAGUUUUACCUGAGCAAGAAAAGCGAAUGUGGUCCACUUCAGUCGUGUGUCAUGAUGGCCAAUUCUCUAUGACAAAAGUUGUUUUUCCUUGGACUGGACUCUUGGAAAAGUUGAAACCUGCCAUGUUAUCUGAAGGUGGUAUUCUGGCAUGGACUCAAGUUAUAGUCAGCCUUAAGUAAGAACAGGCAAGAAACAUGCCCAGUCUUUCAGCUAAGUGACAGCCUACUGCAUCUUGCAGUUCUCAAGUUCCCUCUGUCCUUGUGGGUGUAACAAAAGCAUCUGCUCCUGCUCCUUCGUUG
rnacentral:lncRNA from 1 species